UCACGGGAUCAGGAAUCGGCGUCAUUUUGGGAUUUACGGGAGCUGAGGAUUUACGGCGGCGUUUUUAGCCAUUUGGUAGGAUUUAGCUUAAAUGCUCUCUAAAUCCUGCUUAAAAUCGGCUACGAAACAUCCCCUUAAUUAGAAAGAUCACUAUUAUCUAUCCUACCAAGACAUUUGGAGACGUAGUUAUUGACUAUCCGCUUUGACAGCAUUCAAAAAAUUAUACCCUGGACAUCGAAGAAAAGAGAUAGAUGAUUGCAUUAAAAAGUCAGCUCAUUUCAUUGAGAAGAUACAAAAACCAGAUGGUUCAUGAUAUGGUUCUGGGGCUUGUUGCUUUACUUAUGGAAUACGGUUUGAAGUGAAGGGACUAAUUGCAGCUGGAAAGUCAUACCCAAACAGCCCUUCUCUCCAAAAAGCAUGUGAUUUCCAGUUCUCUAAACAACUAGUUUCUGGUGGUUGGGGGGAGCGUUAUAUGUCUUGUCAAGAUGAGGCUGAAAGAGAUGAGAAGCCAUUGAAUCGAGCGGUGAAUUCCCUCAACAGGUAACAAUUAAGUUUAAUAACAAAAAUAUGAUUUGCUCAUAAAAAACCUAUGAAUUAGAACCCUAAAAAGACAUCUAUGCUUCAUUUUUUUGCCCUUUUUUAAUUUUCUCAAUCAAAAAUUUGCCGAAGUGUUCAUAUGGUUCUCAAUAGAAAUGAAUGAAUCAUAGAGAUUUUGAUUAUGAUAAUGCAAAUAAUGAUGAUGAUUUAGUACAUUAUUGAAGUAUUUAAUGCCUUACUUGACGUGUUGUCGGAAAUAAUAGCAGUUUCAACAGAAACUUCAUGAUUAGCUAUUCAGCGUUCGCAACAUCUUCCUAGUAUGUGCGCUUGGAGAAUACCACACUCGGGUUCUGAAGGCAAGCAAUUAACAUAACUUCAUGUCGAGACUCGAACUUCAUUCUUUUUCUCUUGCAAAAGCAUUCUGACUUGAAAAAUAAUGUAUUAUUUUCAUUAAGAAAUCUGUUGUCGGAAAGCAAGGCGGCUAUCCGGACUGAAAACAACAGUCGAAUGUCAAAACAGUAAGGCAAUUGGAUGCAAUGUGUCCAAAAUUAUUGCACUUGAAGUAGUUUUUUGGUUGGGACGAAAUUGGGAGUACGGCGGUCUCCACCUUUUCUUCACGCUAGACGGUUUUCUCCCCAGACAUGGUCCGCUUGGGUGUUUCAAUUGGUGUACUCUUGCUUCUCGAUCCUGAUCUGAUGGUUGAACCCUUUUUGAAGGGUGGUGUGGACCUAUGUAUUUUAUCUUCAUUUUGAAAACUAAUGUAUAUAU